rnacentral:rRNA from 1 species
UACAGAGGUCCCAAGCGUUGUUCGGAUUCACUGGGCGUGAAGGGUGCGUAGGCGGUCGGGUAAGUCUGACGUGAAAUCUCCAAGCUCAACUUGGAAAUGGCGUCGGAUACUAUUCGGCUUGAGGAGUGGAGGGGAGACUGGAAUUCUCGGUGUAGCAGUGAAAUGCGUAGAUAUCGAGAGGAACACCAGUGGCGAAGGCGAGUCUCUGGACACUUCCUGACGCUGAGGCACGAAAGCCAGGGGAGCAAACGGG